AUUGAACGCUGGCGGCAUGCUUUACACAUGCAAGUCGAACGGCAGCGCGGGCUUCGGCCUGGCGGCGAGUGGCGAACGGGUGAGUAAUACAUCGGAACGUGCCCAGUAGUGGGGGAUAGCUCGGCGAAAGCCGGAUUAAUACCGCAUACGACCUGAGGGUGAAAGCGGGGGAUCUUCGGACCUCGCGCUAUUGGAGCGGCCGAUGGCAGAUUAGCUAGUUGGUGGGGUAAAGGCCUACCAAGGCGACGAUCUGUAGCUGGUCUGAGAGGACGACCAGCCACACUGGGACUGAGCCACGGCCCAGACUCCUACGGGAGGCAGCAGUGGGGAAUUUUAGACAAUGGGCGAAAGCCUGAUCCAGCAAUGCCGCGUGUGUGAUGAAGGCCUUCGGGUUGUAAAGCACUUUUGGCGGGAACGAAAAGGACUGUGCCAAUACCACGGUUCGAUGACGGUACCCGCAGAAUAAGCACCGGCUAACUACGUG
rnacentral:rRNA from 1 species